CCUACGGGUGACAGCAGUGAGGAAUAUUGGUCAAUGGACGAGAGUCUGAACCAGCCAAGUAGCGUGAAGGAUGACUGCCCUAUGGGUUGUAAACUUCUUUUAUAUGGGAAUAAAAUGUUCCACGUGUGGGAUUUUGUAUGUACCAUCUGAAUAAGGAUCGGCUAACUCCGUGCCAGCAGCCGCGGUAAUACGGAGGAUCCGAGCGUUAUCCGGAUUUAUUGGGUUUAAAGGGAGAGUAGGUGGAUUGUUAAGUCAGUUGUGAAAGUUUGCGGCUCAACCGUAAAAUUGCAGUUGAAACUGGCAGUCUUGAGUACAGUAGAGGUGGGCGGAAUGCGUGGUGUAGCGGUGAAAUGCUUAGAUAUCACGAAGAACUCCGAUUGCGAAGGCAGCUCACUGGACUGCAACUGACACUGAGGCGCGAAAGUGUGGGGAUCAAACAGGAUUAGAUACCCGAGUAGUC
rnacentral:rRNA from 1 species